GACGAACGCUGGCGGCGUGCCUAAUACAUGCAAGUUGAGCGAUGAAGAUUGGUGCUUGCACCAAUUUGAAGAGCAGCGAACGGGUGAGUAACGCGUGGGGAAUCUGCCUUUGAGCGGGGGACAACAUUUGGAAACGAAUGCUAAUACCGCAUAACAACUUUAAACAUAAGUUUUAAGUUUGAAAGAUGCAAUUGCAUCACUCAAAGAUGAUCCCGCGUUGUAUUAGCUAGUUGGUGAGGUAAAGGCUCACCAAGGCGAUGAUACAUAGCCGACCUGAGAGGGUGAUCGGCCAAAAUGGGACUGAGACACGGCCCAAACUCCUACGGGAGGCAGCAGUAGGGAAUCUUCGGCAAUGGACGAAAGUCUGGCCGAGCAACGCCGCGUGAGUGAAGAAGGUUUUCGGAUCGUAAAACUCUGUUGGUAGAGAAGAACGUUGGUGAGAGUGGAAAGCUCAUCAAGUGACGGUAACUACCCAGAAAGGGACGGCUAACUACGUG
rnacentral:rRNA from 1 species